rnacentral:lncRNA from 1 species
CCUAACAGAUUUGAUUGUCAUCAAUAAGGAAAAUAUUAGUAAAUCCAACAAACUAAAACCUUUUAACAGCUUUAAUGUGCAGCACGAACUUAGUAAUAAAAAAACAAUUAAUAUCCUGUAAGAAUGCAAUCAAGCAUGAGAACAAGGGAUAGCUGCAUCAGCGCAUCAAAGAAAACAAUUAAUAUCCUGUAAGAAUGUAAGAAUGCAAAUAAACUUGAGAACAAGGGAAAGCUGCAUCAGCUCAUGGACUUAACCACAAAAUUCUUCCGCUCAACACAUAACAUUCAUAUAAAUAAACUUGUUACACACAGAGAUAAAGCUUUAACCAGGUGAAUAAAGCUUAAAAGAUAUACUACA